GAUGAUAUUUGCGAGUCUCGGCGAUAAAAAGCAAACAAGACGGCAAAAUAUGGCUGAAAUUGUGGGGGUAAGUGAAAUAAAAUGUGUUAUAUUUAAAGAAAACAAUGACAAUCCUUAUGAAAUCUAGAAUAACUAUAUUAAAUUAAGCAUAGUUUUUCUUCAUUCCAUGAUAAAUUUUUUAGGAAAUAAGAAAAUUUAAUUUCUGCCAGGUAUAUUAGUUAUUUUAUGCAUAAUUAGCAGUUUACCUGGGGUGGUGCAUGGUCAUUUUCUUGUAAAAUAUUAUACUUAGACAAAUUUUUCCUUCCAAUAACCACCCCUAAAAGCAACCCUUUUAAACACUAUGAGCACGUCAGAAAGGCUGUCGCUUUUGCUUUUCGGAAGUUAGCUAUGUCGGCACUGCCGUUUCAGGGCGGGGUCAUUUUCAGGACUUUCGUCCCGGAUUCAGGUUUUGGCACAUAUUGCCAUGUUGACCGCCUUGAUCAUUUUACCCUAAAACAGUUGAGAUUACCUGUGCUAAAUGAAACGCAUACAAACUCCUAUACAGGUCCUAGACUAUUAUAGCUAAAGGAUCUCGCGUGCGCACGGUUUUUGCUGUGGAACCUGACACGCAAGGAAAAAUUCUGACUAUCAUGUUUUAUUUUAUCCACGCGAGGCACGAAUCGCAUCCUGUACGGAUGUUGUGACGCAUAUACUUCCCACGUGAUGCGCCAUCUUGCGCAUGAAAUAUCGGGAAGAAGAAUUGUAUUGAACAAAAUGAUGGCAGAAGAAAAUUUGGUCGAAUUAUGGCCAGACCAUCCCGGUAUUUAUGAUAUACGCUCAACAGAAUUUAAGAAAGAGACAGACGUCGCCUAGCUCAGCUAAAAGCUGUCGUAUGCGGCAGAAUACUGUAACAUUAAUUCGCUUGUAUCUGAAGAGAAAAUAGUUAUGACCAGUUGACAUUUUCCACUUAUCGCAAGUACCAACUUGCGAGCUCGCUGCCAGUACUUACAUCCAAUUACAAUGCUCGACAGUUUAUUUUAAUUAGAUGCAAGUACUCGCAGCGGGCUGGUGAGUCGGUUUUGCGAUAAGUGGAAAAGAGCCUUUAGUCCGCGUUUUCCGGCUGAAUCACAUCAGUCAAAAACUGAUCGUCACAUCUGUCAAAAACUGUUGUAUGCUGUAACGCCCUUUAUCAGAGAAGCUAAAACCAGAGAACGUUUACACAAUUAACUCAUCCUCGUCCCCAGGGCCUCCCGGCCGCGCGCGUCCUUCCUAGGCCCUGGGACACACCGAACCGGAAGUGCAAGUAAACUUGCAGUAGUUUCUAAAGGGCAUGCUCUUGAAUUGGGACGCUUUAGGACCCGUAACAAUUUUCACAGUGACAUAUGUUGAUAGAAUAAUUUUGCCUAGCGAAAACUCCUCUACUUCUGCGAAAUAGCAGUUCUCUGAAAAGCCAAUCAGAUCUCUUCCUUUAGUCGUCUAACCCAGAGCCUAAUUUUCAACGAGUGACCGAGUGAAAAUGGCUCUGGGAACGAGAAUGCAAUUAACUAUGAAUCCUGGUUUCGCCUCCAACGUUUUUAAAUUAUUGAACGUUAUUUAACACCACGCCUCGGCAUUGUUCGCUCAAAGCCCUGAAAUUCGCAAAAGCUUUUGGGCAUAGGUAAUUUUCGAGUUACGCCCUUUUCGAGUUAAGACUCUCACGCGCCUUUCAUCUCCCGGUCUUAUAAAGGGCGAACGAAAAACACCCUUUUAAAAUAUUCAAAUAAAAAGCCCUUUGAGAGGCAGAGACUGGGAGCAAGUAUACCGCCGAGGAAAGGAGGUCUCAACUCGAUGUCAAUAAUCGAUUUAGACAUUACGGCAGAUUUUUUAUGCCUACGAUUUAGAGAUGUUAUAAUUGCAAUUAGUAGAAUCGUACUAGUAUACCGUAUUGCAAAUGCUGUAAUUUGAUUGGCUACUCUACUCGCUAUCUAUUCCUCGAUAAAUAGCGAGUAGUAAAACAAUCAUUUUCCUGGCACAUUUAAAAAAAAAUGGCUUCCAGCUCGCGUUUUUCUGAGGUUUCUGAGGACGAACUUGAUUGUUUACUAAAACAAUUAGAUUACUCACUCUCGAUUUUUAUGAGGUGAUAUAUAGUUGAUUCGGGUUUCGUCCUUAUCAACUAUCACUUCAUAGAAAUCUCGAGCUUGUAAUCUAAUUGUUAAUUAUAAUGAUUGAAGGUAAUUUUAGAAUUGAAGUUCGACAAUUAGCCUUUCUCACGCCGCCAUUUUUGUGUGGCCUUUCAGCCGAAGUCUGCGAGAUAAGUCCACAUAACAGCGACAUUUUAUAGUUUUAGCGAAUGAUGAUAAAUGGUUAGUUUAUUUUGAAAAAUAGGUACGCUAAGCGUACAUGUAUCUGCUCAUGGUGAUUGCACUGUUGCCAAGGGCUUCAAUCAACACUCAGUAGCUUGUAAAAAAAAUUAAGGGACUGAUGUUUAACAGUUGACCAGUUAAAUAAAGUUAGAUUUAUAGUAUGUCAGAUGAAAGAAAAAUAAAAUGGCUGAUAUAUAUUCAACUUGCAGAAACUAAUUCCGGCCAUAACUUCACAAAGAUGAUAUUCAAUUUUAUGAUGUUCUUGUUGAAUCAUCUUAGUUUUAUAAUUUUCUUGCAGGGAUGGAUCCAGCAUGAUCUGAUACGGGGGGGGGGCUGCUCGGUCCGCUCUGGUGCCGAGUUGGCGAGUUGUGUCGGUCAUGUGUGCCGCCCGCCCAUCAACUUACUUCGCUAUUGCAAAGUCUUGCUUGACUACAGUAUUUGAAUUGUAAUUGUUGUUCACAGUUUGCCUAUCAUCAUAUUAUUACUCAAAUUUCUG